GGAGCUAACGAGCAAGAAUCAAUGGCGAAGACGUCGUGGCCGGAGGUUGUCGGGUGGCCGGAGCUGAACGCUUGGGACCAGAUCGCCAGCGACAGGCCGGACGUGUCGGUGGGGUUCUACGUGCAGGGCUCCCCACUGCCGCCCGGUUACGACCCGAAGCGUGUCGUCCUCAUCGUCAACCCGUCCCUCGUCGUCAUCAAGACCCCCGUCGUCGGCUAG
rnacentral:rRNA from 1 species